GUUUUGUUAUCAAUGAUAAGAUAGACGUGUUUUUAUCGCCAUGUAAUUGACACGAUUUAUAACGAGAUAAAAGGAAAAAAAAUUGCCCCGGGUGAGGAUCGAACUCACGACCUUAAGAUUAUGAGACUUACGCGCUGCCUACUGCGCUACCGAGGCUGUCAAUUUGGACUACUUAAUUAAUAAAUAAAAUUAGCUUACCCGAAGAGGAAGUCGAAAACGGUUGAGGUACGCUCAGAGAUUGCAUCAAGGGUGGCAUCGCUAGAAAAGGUGGUUGGAGCAACGUUCCUGGAAGUGAAAAUGUUGCCGACAAAGAAGAGGAUGUUAACGGCGAUGAUGAAGAAUCCGCUGUCACGGAAUUUGGAUUAAUUAGCUUUACACGAGAUAUAGUUUGCUCACUUGCUUGAUCGAUGGAAAAUUUAUUUGACACUUGGAAAUUUCGCUAGCGAGAGCUGAAACUUUUACUCCCGGCUAUAUACAUCAUGUCACAAUUGUAUGUUACUGGACUGGAUGAAACAUGGGAAUCCAAAUGUCGUGAUAAUAUAACGACUUGUCGAGGGAACGAGACCGAUGUAAUGGCGAUGCUAUAAAUGAGACAAUCGCUUGAAAAAAACGACCUUGUAAAAAUCAAAUAGACUUGAGAUGAAUGUAACUUAUGUAUUUCAACAUACAUAUUUUAAAUAUAUAGAGAAAUUGAGUUAAAAAAAAACCUCCACCGUGACAAUGCUCUCGCAUUGCCGUGACCAGGAUUCGAACCUGGGUUACUACGGCCACAACGUAGGGUCCUAACCACUAGACGAUCACGGCUACUGGAGGAGUUAAGACAGGAGUGGAAAUUGUCACAGAUCAAUCCAGAUAUCAGUCAACUUGCUCAUUUGUGCAUAACGAAAGCAAGCAAGUGACAAAUAAAGAA